CGCUCUUUUAUUUUUCUAGGUAGUUUGUGAUUCUUGCUGUCUCUUACUUCAAACAACAUCUAUUUCCAAAACUAGCAUUCCUGAAGCACUUUGUUUAUAAAACUGAUCCAUCUAUAGUCAAUAUGGACAAAAUGUUUGUGUUCUGUGUUUCCAGUUGGGUACCCUGUUUAUACAAACUAGGAGAAAGAGCAGUGUGAGGAUAUUUACCAAUUUAAGGUUUCAUAUUAGCUACACCUAUUGGAGUUUAUCUCAAUGAAAAGAUACAAUAACAACUUGUGCCUGAAAAUGACAUUGCAGACUUCACUAUGUGGGGGAAGUACUUCAUGCAGGUAGGAUCUUGUAUGACAAAUUAUUCCCUUCUUGUGAAAAUAACACUUAGUCUUGGUUGUUUGGUUUUCAGCUCAGUUCUGGAGGUGUGCUGGUAAAGCUGCUCUUUUACCGGAGGAGCUGUCUUAAUUGUUCCUGAGUGCUGGUAGAUCAUGAUGGUUUUCAUCUUGGAAAAAAGAGCAAAGUUUCUUUAGACAGCUCUGGCUUUUAUGUUUUAUUUCUUGUGUUUGUUUAUUGAAUAGCAGUUCUCAUAAUUAUGGAUAAUAAAACACCUUCAAAUCUACA